rnacentral:lncRNA from 1 species
CUGAGUUUGGUCAUAAACUGAGAUUCAUAGCAAUAUAGAAAUAAAUCUGCUAUUAAAGGGGCACAGUUAGUGCCCAUAGGAAUGCCUACUACCUGACGAUACACUUUAUCGCCGAAACGUACAAAAAUGUUAUCUAACAGAAAAUUUAAAGCUAAAUUGAUUUGUUAAAGAUGUGUUAAUAAACCGACUGUAUGUCAUUGAUACAUAUAGCAGCCUCAAUUUAAAAACAAAUUAUAUAACUCCA